rnacentral:rRNA from 1 species
AAUUAAAAGAGCCGCGGUAUUUUGACCGUGCAAAGGUAGCAUAAUCAUUAGUUUCUUAAUUAGAGGCUUGAAUGAAUGGUUUGACGAGAAAUUAACUGUCUCUUAAUAAAUUUUAGAAUUUAACUUUUGAGUUAAAAGGCUCAAAUAUUUCUUUAGGACGAGAAGACCCUAUAGAGCUUGACAUUUUUAUUUUUAUGUUAUUUUUGUUUAUUUUGAAAUAUAAUUUUUUUAAUGUUUAGUUGGGGUGACUUGAAGAAUAAUUAAACUCUUUAUUGUUAAAUCAUUGAUUUAUGUUUAUUUGAUCCAUAAUUUAUGAUCAUAAGAUUAAGUUACCUUAGGGAUAACAGCGUAAUCAUUUUUAAGAGUUCAUAUCGACAAAAUGGUUUGCGACCUCGAUGUUGGAUUAAGAUUAAUUUUAGGUGUAGUA